CUUGUUUAUAAUAGCUGUUUUGGCUGUUGUAUGUGGGCUGCUUUUAGCUGCAUUGAUCGCCUCAGUAAUACGCCAGCACCGAAAAAGACAAAACAUAAAGAAAUCGUCAGAUACAGGGACAGAACAAUCCAACCCGGACACCGGAUAUACAUCUAUUACUCAUCGUCCAGAGGAGACUCCCCACGUCUAUGAAAUGGUUGUUACCUAAACCAAAGUUCACCAAAUUCAUCAGUGGAUUCCAAUCAUUCAAUAUAUGUGUACUAUCUAAUUUUACAUACAGCCACAAACCCAUGGUGUCAGUACAAACCAAGCCAGAAACAAGCUUCCGUUGUGUUGCCAUAUCAGAUCGUGCCAAAAUGUUUUCCUUGGCUGAUAUGCUUAAAUCUGAAUCAAGCUCUGCUGUCAUGCGUCGACUCAUACAGUAAUAUUUGGAAGUGUAUAUUUCAUUUUCGGACAUAUGUGAUACAAUGCUUUCACAUUAGUUUAAAUCUGUUUUAUCAUCGUCUAAGUACGGCGUAUCAGUGUGUGGGCUCAUUUGUAUUGAAAUCGAGCUUUCCCAAACGAAAGUAUGACUUAUGUUACUUUGAUGACGCUUUCUUAUGACAUUUUAAAAGUGUUUUUUUUAAACUUAUUUUAUCUCUAGCGUGGCUCGAUAUAGCAAAAUGUACUAAUACACCGCCUUAUUAUUGUGCGUGAAUCAAAUGUUGGUUACACAAGAAACGCAUGAUUUCCAAUUGACAAUACAUACGCACUAACCACACGCAUGCAUGUCGCACGCACGGGAGACCGUCCUUAAAUGAUCUUAGCUGUUGAUAAGACGUUAACAAAUACAGCCAAACCAAACCUUUUCUUAUUGAUGUAACAGCUGAAGUGGUUCAGGAGACAGUUAUCCAAUAAUAUUUAUAAAGAGACGGAAGAUUAGAAUCCUGGAUGAUUGAAACAUCACUUCAGCUUUCUAGCCAUCAUUGUGGUGUCCUCAAAACACACAUUUAUCACAUUUCAUGACGACUCGGGGGGACGUACUUAUUGGAUGGACCAGUGAUGUUACUAGGACAUUACACAAAAUAAAUCAAACAACCGUUUGGUAUAUAAACUAGUAUAGGCAAAUAUUGGCUCAGUUUAGACGAGUGCUUCAAUGUCGAAUUUCGUGAGUUUAAGUAAUUUAUAGAUACCUACAUAUACUAUGUGUUGAAGGAUACUGCAGUAACUAAAGCAAUGCUACACACAUACAACUUGUACCAUUGAAAUAAUGUAAAGGUACAUCUAGGUGGAACACAUGCUUUCUGAAUAAUUGGACCGGUGUGAACUAACUUGUAUCAUCAUUGCUGGAAUAGCAUGCACAUGUCAUUGUCAUAUGAUUCUAGAAAUUAACAAUGACUAUUUAGCUAAGCCUCUCGGAAAGAAUCUGUAUUAGAAAUGUGUUAAAUGUGUUUUUCACAGUUCCAUAAAAAGUGAUGUUUCAAGUGAAAUGGGCUGGUUACAUAUAUCGGAUGCCUAACCUUCAGUAGGGAAUUUUAAUUUAAACCAGGUGCCUCCUUCGACCACCAAACCCGCCUAGUGAGCGUGUUAAACAUUUUAUAUUUACAAUGCCUUCAGACACUACCUUGUAAAUAUAUGUAUAUCUAAAAUUGUGCUGUUCUUUUUUUACUUUUUGUACCUUGUAAAUGUAUAUAUAUAUAUAUAUAUCCAAAAUUUUGUUGUACUCAUUUGAGUAGUCAGAAAACUGUAUGUAGUAUAAUGAAAUAUCCAGUUUUCACAUGAUUGUUGAGAUUUCCUGGUUAAUAAACAUAACAAUCUAUUGCAAAUUCAAGGUAGCAUGUAUUUAUUUACCUUAAUAUCUCGCGCCGAGUAUUCUACCAAAUUAAAAAAAAACAAGUACUACGGAGUAAAUAAAAUGUUCAUUUUAUUUUAUACAGCCACAAUAUACAUAUCAUGUUUGUUAAUUUAUUUUAUCGUAGUUUUCUUUGGUCACAUGGGUAGCAAAAUACCAAGUUAUUCAGCUUACACAUAAUCGAAAGAACAGCUUGUACAAGACCUGUCUUAUGCUAGGCGUUUUCAUCUCGCACACAAAGCUGAAGAAAUAUAAUUUCAACUUAGGUAACGAAGUUUUCAAGUGUCACUUCAAAUUCAGGAUUAGAGCAUAUGAGAUAUCAUACCUGUUACAUUUGGCUAAGAUCACGUCAUCGAAAAUGAUACGACACGACUUUGAUCUACAUUAUCAAUUUCCGAUUUUUUUCUG